UACAGAGGUCCCAAGCGUUGUUCGGGUUCAUUGGGCGUAAAGGGUGCGUAGGUGGCGCCGUAAGUCGGGUGUGAAAUUUCGGAGCUUAACUCCGAAACUGCAUUCGAUACUGCGGUGCUUGAGGACUGGAGAGGAGACUGGAAUUCAUGGUGUAGCAGUGAAAUGCGUAGAGAUCAUGAGGAAGACCAGUGGCGAAGGCGGGUCUCUGGACAGUUCCUGACACUGAGGCACGAAGGCCAGGGGAGCAAACGGG
rnacentral:rRNA from 1 species